AGAGUUUGAUCCUGGCUCAGGACGAACGCUGGCGGCGCGCCUAACGCAUGCAAGUCGAGCGAGGGCCAUCUGGUGGCAACACCGGGUGGUGCCUAGCGGCGAACGGGUGAGUAACACGUGGGUAACCUGCCCCCGACACCGGGAUAAGCCUGGGAAACUGGGUCUAAUACCGGAUAUGAGCCUCCUCCGCAUGGUGGGGGCUGGAAAGGGUCUCCGGUCGGGGAUGGGCCCGCGUCCUAUCAGCUUGUUGGUGGGGUAACGGCCUACCAAGGCGACGAUCAGUAGCUGGUCUGAGAGGAUGAUCAGCCACAUUGGGACUGAGACACGGCCCAAACUCCUACGGGAGGCAGCAGUGGGGGAUAUUGGACAAUGGGCGCAAGCCUGAUCCAGCCAUGCCGCGUGAGUGAUGAAGGCCCUAGGGUUGUAAAGCUCUUUUGUGCGGGAAGAUAAUGACGGUACCGCAAGAAUAAGCCCCGGCUAACUUCGUGCCAGCAGCGGCGGUAAUAC
rnacentral:rRNA from 1 species